AAACUCAAAUGAAUUGACGGGGACCCGCACAAGCGGUGGAUGAUGUGGUUUAAUUCGAUGCAACGCGAAAAACCUUACCCACCUUUGACAUGUACGGAACCCUUUAGAGAUAGAGGGGUGCUCGAAAGAGAGCCGUAACACAGGUGCUGCAUGGCUGUCGUCAGCUCGUGUCGUGAGAUGUUGGGUUAAGUCCCGCAACGAGCGCAACCCUUGUCAUUAGUUGCUACAUUCAGUUGGGCACUCUAAUGAGACUGCCGGUGACAAGCCGGAGGAAGGUGGGGAUGACGUCAAGUCCUCAUGGCCCUUAUAGGUGGGGCUACACACGUCAUACAAUGGCUGGUACAAAGGGUUGCCAACCCGCGAGGGGGAGCCAAUCCCAUAAAGCCAGUCGUAGUCCGGAUCGUAGUCUGCAACUCGACUACGUGAAGUCGGAAUCGCUAGUAAUCGUGGAUCAGAAUGUCACGGUGAAUACGUUCCCGGGUCUU
rnacentral:rRNA from 1 species